GAUGAACGCUGACAGAAUGCUUAACACAUGCAAGUCUACUUGAAUUUGGGUUUUUUAACUUAGAUUUGGGUGGCGGACGGGUGAGUAACGCGUAAAGAACUUGCCUCACAGUUAGGGACAACAUUUGGAAACGAAUGCUAAUACCUGAUAUUAUGAAUAUAUGGCAUCAUAUAAUUAUGAAAGCUAUAAGCGCUGUGAGAGAGCUUUGCGUCCCAUUAGCUAGUUGGAGAGGUAACGGCUCACCAAGGCGAUGAUGGGUAGCCGGCCUGAGGGGGUGAACGGCCACAAGGGAACUGAGAAACGGCACGUACUCCUACGGGAGGCAGCAGUGGGGAAUAUUGGACAAUGGACCAAGAGUCUGAUCCAGCAAUUCUGUGUGCACGAUGACGUUUUUCGGAAUGUAAAGUGCUUUCAGUUGGGAAGAAAAAAAUGACGGUACCAACAGAAGAAGUGACGGCUAAAUACGUG
rnacentral:rRNA from 1 species